rnacentral:rRNA from 1 species
AAACGGUGGAGGGGGCCUCUUUUUUUUAAAAAAGUCCGUGGACCGGAUUUCAGACCGGAUAAAUCGCCCUGUUUUUACAAAAACAUCGCCUCUUGCAAAAUAAAUGAAUAAGAGGUCCCGCCUGCCCUGUGACUAUAUGUUCAACGGCCGCGGUAUUUUGACCGUGCGAAGGUAGCGCAAUCACUUGUCUUUUAAAUGAAGACCUGUAUGAAUGGCAUCACGAGGGCUUAGCUGUCUCCCCCUCCCAGUCAAUGAAAUUGAUUUUCCCGUGCAGAAGCGGGAAUAAGAACAUAAGACGAGAAGACCCUAUGGAGCUUAAGACGCCAGGACAGCUCAUGUUAAACACCCCAGAACAAAGGGAAUAAACUUAGUGAAACCCUGCCCUAGUGUCUUUGGUUGGGGCGACCACGGGGAAAAACUUAACCCCCAUGCGGAAUAGGAAUACUAUUUUCCUAGACUCAAGAGCUCCCGCUCUAAUAGACAGAAUUUCUGACCAAAAGGAUCCGGCAAUGCCGAUCAACGGACCGAGUUACCCUAGGGAUAACAGCGCAAUCCUCUUUAAGAGUCCCUAUCGACAAGAGGGUUUACGACCUCGAUGUUGGAUCAGGACAUCCUAAUGGUGCAGCCGCUAUUAAGGGUGAGUGCCGUACUAGUCC